GUAUGUGGGCCUUUGAUACCCUAUCUUUUGAUUGGGUUUUCCUGCGGUCCCAUUGCCACGCAUACUCCAAAUUUCAGCUGAAAAUUUUAGCCUAGUUUUGAAAUUCGAAUUCGAAUUUGGAUUUUUCUUUUUAAUUUUCAAUUUUUUUUCCUGUCGAUGUUUCCUAUGUUCAACAAAGGUUGAAGGAUAGAAAAAGGAAGGAGUGGGUAGCCACGAGCCUCACCAACAAUAGUCACUCACCACCCUUGUCAACGAACCCAUCCGACCACCUCCAUCAACGAGCCCCACGAGGCCACGACCACCAGUUACGCAAUACAAAUCGGUCAAAACACCCACCACCAGUCAAGCGAUACAAAUUAGGGCUUUAAAUAGUCGGAUUCGGCCAUGAAAACUCCAGAUCUGAGUUUUGAUGGUCGAAUUUCACCAUAAAGCCGAUGAAGGGCGGGCAUUGUUGAAAAGUUAUUUGGUCUUCAAAAAUGUGAAGAAGCCUACAUGGCAAUAGGAUUAUAUUUUAUAAUUGAGUUUUGGAAUUUAUAUAUAGUCUUAUUGUAUCAAUGUGAUUAACUUUUGGUACCUAGAUCUUAGAGGAUAUUGAACAAGCACGUUUGAAGUAAGUGUAUUCGAAAUCAAAUUAUGGUGGAGGUUGGCUGUCUGUUUUGAGACACUUAAUUAAAUAGUACAAUUUCUUAAUCUAUUUUUGGAAACCUUUUACGAUGUAUAAAAGUUAAAUUAGAAUGAAUAAAAAAAAUUAUUAUGGUAGCCCA